GUUCCCUCCGCCGCGGUACUCCGUCGGGGUCACGCGUUACCCGGAAUUACUGGGCGUAAAGGGGGCGUAGGCGGUAAAAGAAGUCAUCUGUGAAAACCUAUUGCUCAACGAUAGGCUAGCGGAUGAAACUGAAUUACUUGAGGGCACCAGAGGUAGACGGAAUUACCCGAGUAGGGGUGAAAUCCGCAGAUACGGGUAGGAAGGCCGGUGGAGAAGUCGGUCUACUGGGGUGCACCAGACGCUGAGGCCCGAAAGCUAGGGGAGCAAACCGGAUUAGAUACCCGGGUAGUCCUAGCCGUAAACGAUGCUCACUAGGUGUAGGGAGUGAUAAACUCUCUGUGCUGAAGCGAACGCGCUAAGUGAGCCGCCUGGGGAGUACGUCCGCAAGGAUGAAACUCAAAUGAAUUGGCGG
rnacentral:rRNA from 1 species